AGAGCUAGCCGUGUUGCUUUGUUUCUUAGGUUUUAACAACCUUUUGAACACAGAGCUUUAAGGUGUUGGCGUGUUAAGCCUUUUAAAGAUGGAGGUUCGGUCUUAAUCACUAAUGUGAUCAAGUACUGAAAUUCUGGGUUUUGAACAGUUUAGCCUAUCGAAAACUGAUGUUCUAAGGGCGAGUUUAGGCUAUUCUUGACUUUGUUCAACGCUCACACUGAUAUGUUGAGCGCUAGCGUUUUUCCCUUUUCUUGAAAUCUUCAUGGGCGUAUUGGGUGUGAAGCCAUGUCCAACUUUGUUGUUGUCAACUUCAUAACCAUGCUCCUUCAACUUCUUCUAAGUCUCAGUGAGGUCACGUUCUUUGUCAUUGACUGUGUUUGAAACUUCUCUUCCAAGAUUUAAAGGGGAGGCAAAAUCAUACGCAGCCUUUGACAUGAGUUUGUAGGCGUUUGGGUCGAAACUUUCGUUGGUCUUCUUGGUUGGAAGAACGUUCGGCCCCCUUUGACAGGGGUUUUA
rnacentral:lncRNA from 1 species